GUGUGCUACAUAUGGGAGAUAAUUGAAAGGACAUAUCAGUGUCUGGGCAAUAGGAUGGAGCUGGGUUACGGACAGUAUAAAGAAAAGUAAUGAAGUAAUCAGCAUUCCAGAAAUCUUACGGUGAACUCUGGAGGAAAGCAUGCAAGCAAAUUGGGGAGCAUAAGUAGCAGUUGCUGACCUUUUUUUACAUUCUUCUUCACACUCUGCAAUUAUACAUUCUUUUACUGACCCCUUGGAAAACUCAACCCUCCCUGUUUAACAGGUAUUUUGGGGGGUGCAGCAGGGAGUAGACAUGAGCAAAAGCAGUCAUGGCAACAGUAUGUCACCAGUGUAUGUUAUACAACAUUCUCAGAAUUAUCUGAACUAUGCUAUUAAGAGGAACAGCUGAGUUUCUGUCUAACCUAAUAUGGUUUCUGCUACUUAUAUGGUUUGCAUAUACUAUUAUUAUUGUUAAACCUUCUCCUGCUUAUAAGCUACAUUGAAAUACUGCUUAACAAGGAGGGGGGCAGAGCUGGAAGACCAUUAGUGUUAGGACUGACUACUUAUCUAAAGAAGCAAGCUGAAUUUCUUGUUUUAUAUCAUGUCUUUUGCUCCAUUUGGCUGUGUAUUAGGAAAUGUUCAAAUCUCUUAUAUCAUAUUCUGAUGUUACUGAGAUGAAAGCAGAAAUGAUAUGAUCAAGUCAGAUACUAGUUGUUCAGUCUAGUGGACAUACAGAUGCUUUAAGGAGAUUCUGAUGUUAGCACCAUGUAUGCAUUCAAAGCAGACGUUAAAAAUAUCAGUGUUAACAGAGCCAAAAUGGGAGAGAGUGAGAGGAGGAGGGGGAAAAAAAAAGGUGAGUAAUUCAAGGUAUGUCUGCUCCUUUUCUUCUUCCCACAUUCUUAUUCACUCCCUGACUUCCACACAAGAUAAAUACUAGUGUUGUUUCUAUUAAUUUCCAUUACGCUGCUGGAAAAACAAUGCUUAAAUCAGUGAAACUAAAAUCAGUGCUCCUGAGGAGGGUGUCUGUUAACUUUUCCCAACUCUCCCAGGAGUUCUUAAAUCCUCUUAUGCUGUGAACCUAAAUUAAUUACUGUGUAAAAAUUUAUUUUUAUCAGGCAUGCAGCCCACAGAGCACCAAGGUUUGUUUCAUAGAUGGAGCUGGGGAUGGAACUGGAUUCAGAAGGUCCAAAGGAGCUCAGAGAGUAUAAAGUCACUUAUCUUUUAGUUCCACUGCUGUUAUAUGACAUGUUCUGUCUAAGAAUAAGUAUUGUGAUACCAAAAUGGAGGUGUAGAAACAAAAAAAAUCAUUUUGGAUUUAACUGAGAUUUUAAUCAGUAACACAAGAAAUCCAGUUUAUAGACUGAGAAAAUGAGAUUUAAAGAUCACUAAAUAGACACUUCAAGUAACACCAAAGCAUUUAACC